UUACUGGGCAGGUGAUGUAAUUAAUUAAAAGGCAAAUACAAAACAGUGGGGAUCUCUUCCUUUGGCGUGAAAACCUUGCUGUGCUGCAAUGGAAACCGGGGCCAGGAAAAUCUGUUAAAAAUUCAGAUCUUCCUCCACAAAAUAACACCCAAAGCACUUUUCCCGCAGGCUCAGAGCCAAGGGCAAGGUUGUGAGACCUGGGACUGAAUCAACACCUGAACACCUCCAGCCUGAAUUUUGCUUCACUCCCUGCAGCUGGUCUCUCUUUUUCAGGAGAGCUAUUCAGCAGUCCCAGGAGAGAAAAAAAAGGUGCUAUUUUUCCAUGAUAAAAGGCACCAAACUAAAGCUGCAACGGCACAGAGACACUGCUUUAUUUUUUCUAAUUACUUCAGCUCUUGAAAGCACUGAAUGAUCUUCCCAAGGCUCUGGGGAAGCUGCUGCUGUUGGGUUUGAUGAAACCUGAUAAUAAAAGUGCACCUGGUAUCCGAAAUGA